rnacentral:misc_RNA from 1 species
UCCAGUUUAUCACUGGCAGUCUCUUCAAAGUUCUCAGCAUUAUCUGUUAGCAACUAAAGAUAGGGGUUGCGCCCGUUAAAGGACUUAACCCAACAUCUCACGACACGAGCUGACGACAGCCAUGCACCACCUGUGCGAAGUCCGGCCGAACCGAAGGACCUGAUCUCUCAGGCCCGCGACUUCCAUGUCAAGAGCUGGUAAGGUUUUUCGCGGAUUAUCGAAUUAAACCACAUGCUCCACCGCUUGUGCGGGUCCCCGUCAAUUCCUUUGAGUUUUAGUCUUGCGACCGUACUCCCCAGGCGGAUUGCUUAACGCGUUAGCUGCAACACCGAAGACUAUUCAUCUCCGACGUUUAGCAAUCAUCGUUUAGGGCGUGGACUAC